GAUGAACGCUGGCGGCGUGCCUAAUACAUGCAAGUCGAGCGAACAGACGAGGAGCUUGCUCCUCUGAUGUUAGCGGCGGACGGGUGAGUAACACGUGGAUAACCUACCUAUAAGACUGGGAUAACUUCGGGAAACCGGAGCUAAUACCGGAUAACAUGUUGAACCGCAUGGUUCAACAGUGAAAGACGGUCUUGCUGUCACUUAUAGAUGGAUCCGCGCCGCAUUAGCUAGUUGGUAAGGUAACGGCUUACCAAGGCAACGAUGCGUAGCCGACCUGAGAGGGUGAUCGGCCACACUGGAACUGAGACACGGUCCAGACUCCUACGGGAGGCAGCAGUAGGGAAUCUUCCGCAAAGGGCGAAAGCCUGACGGAGCAACGCCGCGUGACUGAAGAAGGUCUUCGGAUCGUAAAACUCUGUUAUUAGGGAAGAACAAAUGUGUAAGUAACUAUGCACGUCUUGACGGUACCUAAUCAGAAAGCCACGGCUAACUACGUG
rnacentral:rRNA from 1 species